ACCCGAGGUCUAUGACUUGCCAGCUGUAUUGUCUACAGAUUGAGUUAUUCUUUUUACUCUUUAUUUUCAUUUGUUACCAAUCUGCCUAGCUCUCAGUACUAUGGUAAUGACUAAAUGAUUAUAUAUACUCUCAUAUAUAUGAGUAGAGAGCAACAUUAUAAUGAAGACACGAUCAAGGUGACAGGAGACUAAGAAGAAGACACUGAUAAGGCAGAAAAGACCAUAUGAAGUUGGAGCCAUGUGAAGUGUUGCAGCCACAAGCCAUGGAAAACCUGGAGCCACCAGAAGCUGGAGCAGACAAGGAAACAUUCUCAUUUUGAGCCUUUGGAGGAACAUGGCCCCUCCAACACCUUGAUUUCAGACUUCUGAUCUUUAGUCUGGAAGAGAAUGAAUUUCUGUUCUUUGAAGCCUCCUGAUUUGUAGCAGUUUGUCACAGGAGACUCAGGAAAGUCGUACAGGCUGCCAGGAAAUUAACUCCAUAAAAUAACUUCUCUAAAUCAA